GUCCAGACUCCUACGGGAGGCAGCAGUGAGGAAUAUUGGUCAAUGGCCGGAAGGCUGAACCAGCCAAGCCGCGUGAAGGACGAAGGUGCCAAGCAUUGUAAACUUCUUUUGUCAAGGGACAAAAUCAGGCUCGAGAGCCUGACCGAGGGUACUUGAAGAAAAAGCAUCGGCUAACUCCGUGCCAGCAGCCGCGGUAAUACGGAGGAUGCGAGCGUUAUCCGGAUUUACUGGGUGUAAAGGGAGCGUAGACGGCGGCGCAAGUCCGGAGUGAAAGCCCACGGCCCAACCGUGGGACUGCUCUGGAAACUGUGCGGCUUGAGUGCGGGAGGGGCAGGCGGAAUUCCUAGUGUAGCGGUGAAAUGCGUAGAUAUUAGGAGGAACACCGGCGGCGAAGGCGGCCUGCUGGACCGUAACUGACGUUGAGGCUCGAAAGCGUGGGGAGCAAACAGGAUUAGAUACCCUUGUA
rnacentral:rRNA from 1 species